UCUACAGCCACACCACCAUGAACAUGCCUGAUCUUGCCUGGUCUUGGAAGCUAAGCAGGGUCAGGCCUGAUUAGCACUUGGAUGGGAGAAAGGGAGAGAGAGACACUUAUAGCA
rnacentral:rRNA from 1 species